rnacentral:lncRNA from 1 species
GGAGAUGUGAAUUAGAGGAAAAAGGAAUGAAAAUUAGCGGAGGCCAAUGGGAGAGGAAGGGGUGACAUCUAAUGUAGGUUCUCAUUCAUUUUCCUGGUUCAGUGAUGCAGCAAGGCCCAACGGGUCCACCCACUCACCAAAUUGUAUUCCUCUGUCUCCCCCAUCCCAUCCACAUGCACAGAAUCACACACACGUAAAUAUUCUCCACCAACCAGCGGGGCCGGCGUCCGCCAUGACGUCACACUGCAGUUCUUCUCGGGCUCCACUGGAUGACAGUGGCAAUUCGCCGCUUACACGCGAUGAGCCGUCAUUCUUAAUGGCGACCGCUCAGAGUGUGUUUGCUUGCACCUCUGGUUCAUUCUCCACUUACUGCCGUAACUACCUGGAUUUCCCCUGACACCGUUCCUUCGCUCCAGCUUACUUCCACCCCGAUUCUUCCUCCAAGCUGCCUCCACACCUCCUGUGGAAAAUCAGGAAACUCGCUGGCCUACCCUCAUUCUCAUCACAACCAUCCACAGCUUCUAGAAAUUGUGCCUGGACAUUCUCGUUUCACUCGCCGCUAACUUCGCCAUCACCCCCGGAGAACCACCCCACCCUCAAUAGCUUCUUUCCUUCACCUGCCAAGUAAGCACUCUUCUUUUAUUCACCUCAUCAUUAAACUCUCCUGUAGUCCACUGCACUGGAAAUAAUGCCUCUCUCCUCCCGUUGCAGUGUAUCCAGCCCCUGUGAAGUUUCCUCUGAGCCCUGCUCUGCCUUUGAUAAUCCCUGUGUUAAAUAAAAUCUGUUUAAGUUUGAAUUCUUCCUGUAUUGAGUCUGCUUUUGGGGCCACCUUCAAACCAGCCUCUUAGCCUUUUGACAGUGCAUUUUCAUGCCAGAAAUCCACUGUUAUGUGGAUGUUUUUACAGACUGACGGAACUACCAUUGCAGAGUUUUUUUCAGGAAUUCAACAAGUGAUUAACAAAAGUGAUAGGAUUCUUUCUGCCUCUUUUCUGUGGUUACAACUGAAUAUAACUGCAAUGCACUCCUGCAACAAUAGAAAGAUUAGACAAACCUGCUAUUCAGCCGUGUUGUUUACUUUUAAAGAGACUGGUUCUGUCAGUAAGCAGUCUGUCCAAAUCAGGACAGGCACAGGAUAUAAUGUUUCAAUUACAGAUAACACUCUCUGUACGAACAUAACAUUAAAUACAUCCCUGAAGUAGCUCGGCUCUCUAAGUCUUUGACCAAGACAGCUGAGCAAAGGUCUUUUAAUGCCAAGUCACAAAAAUAUUUAUCAGCCUUGUGCAUGCCACGUGCAAUGCAUUUUUUCUUUUAAGAAACAAC